rnacentral:rRNA from 1 species
GACGAACGCUGGCGGCGUGCCUAACACAUGCAAGUCGAACGGAAAGGCGCUGCUUUUGUGGGGUUCUCGAGUGGCGAACGGGUGUGUAACACGUGAGUAACCUGCCCUUGACUUUGGGAUAACUUCAGGAAACUGGGGCUAAUACCGGAUAGGAGCUCCUGCUGCAUGGGGGGGGUUGGAAAGUUUCGGCUGUUGGGGAUGGACUCGCGGCUUACCAGCUUGUUGGUGGGGUAGUGGCUUACCAAGGCUUUGACGGGUAGCCGGCAUGAGAGGGUGACCAGCGACAAUGGGACUGAGAGAGGCACCAGACGCCUACGUUAGGCAGCAGUGGAGAAUAUUGCACAGUGGGCGGAAGCGUGAUACAGAGGCGUCGCGUUCGUAAUGACGGCCUUCGGGUGAUGAACCGCUGUCGCCUGUGACGUAGCGUGAGUGACGGUACUGAGUAAAGAAGCACCGGCUAACUACGUG